CCCCUUGAGACGACGCCUCCGCCGCCCUAUCUUGGCGCCGUCCGGCAACGGACUAUGGGCAUAAACGCGCGCGGAAUAAGCGGAUCGGACCCGGGGGCGGUACCCGGCGGCUCCACCAGAUACCUCUCGUUGGGGGGACCAGGGGGCCGAAACAGGAUCGACGACCGUGUAAAGGCGUGGCUUUGUCCCGGUGAGGUACCACCGUUAUCGGUCCAAAACGCAUAGUUGCCAACGACAACCGUGCUCCGGCGAUGGCCCUCGCCGCCUAACGGCGGAAAGGUCCAGAGCCAAAGUCCCGGGGAAUAAGCCCCUCGGGCGGGGUCCGCAGGCACCUGGCAACAGAAGCCUGCACU
rnacentral:tmRNA from 1 species